rnacentral:rRNA from 1 species
GCUGAAACUUAAAGGAAUUGACGGAAGGGCACCACCAGCGCGUGGAGCCUGCGUGCUUAAUUUGACUCAUACACGGGGAAACUUACCAGGUCCAGACAUGGGUAGGAUUGACAGAGUGAUAGCUCUUUCUNUGAUUCUAUUCGGGUGGUGGUGCAUGGCGCGUUCUUAGUUGGUGGAGUUGGUCUUGUCACGGUUGUAAGGUUCCGGUAACGAACGAGACCUCAGCCUGCUAAAUAGUUGCCUACGUCGUUUCCACGCGCGGGACGUCAAACUUCUUAGAAGGGACUAUUAGCGAUUUUCAGCUAAUUGAAGUAUGAGGCAAUAACAGGUCUGUGAUGCCCUUAGAUGUUCUGGGCCGCACGCGCGCUACACUGACGCAAUCAACGAGCCUCCUGGUCCCGAGAGGACCGGGUAAUCUUGUAAACUGCGUCGUGAUGGGGCUAGAGCUUUGUAAUUAUUGCUCUUUAACGAGGAAUGCCUAGUAAGCGCGAGUCAUCAGCUCGCGUUGAUUACGUCCCUUGCCCUUUGUACACACCGCCCAUGUCGCUCCUUCCUGUAUUGGGAUGUGCUGUGUGAAGAGUUCGGGACUGGACCAUGGCUAGCAAUAGCCCCGGUUCGGGAAGUCCUUUGAACCCUCCUCGCACUAGAGGAAGGAGAAGUCGUAACAAGGUUUCCGUAGGUG